CUCACCCCUAAGAGGCAUUGCAGGUGUGGCUACUGUGUCACAUGUGCAUCAGUUGGUGGCAGAGGGGAGAGAGGUUAUGUCUACACUCAGUGUUCAGACCAUCAAACAUCUGAAUGAUGAGUACCCUAACAAG
ensembl:snoRNA Gm25762 predicted gene, 25762